rnacentral:rRNA from 1 species
AUACGGAGGAUGCGAGCGUUAUCCGGAUUUAUUGGGUUUAAAGGGAGCGUAGGUGGGAUAUUAAGUCAGCUGUGAAAGUUUGGGGCUCAACCUUAAAAUUGCAGUUGAUACUGGUUUCCUUGAGUACGGUACAGGUGGGCGGAAUUCGUGGUGUAGCGGUGAAAUGCUUAGAUAUCACGAAGAACUCCGAUCGCGAAGGCAGCUCACCGGGCCGGAACUGACACUGAUGCUCGAAAGUGCGGGUAUCAAACAGGAUUAGAUACCCUGGUAGUCCGCACAGUAAACGAUGAAUACUCGCUGUUUGCGAUACACGGUAAGCGGCCAAGCGAAAGCGUUAAGUAUUCCACCUGGGGAGUACGCCGGCAACGGUGAAACUCAAAGGAAUUGGCGGGG